rnacentral:lncRNA from 1 species
UUGAACUUCAAUUAAUUCCUCUAGAGGAUAUGAUUCAUGAACUCUGCCAAGAUGCCCAAUUUAUCACUACUACUUUCCGGCCAGAGCUUUUAGAGAAAGCAGACAAAUUUUAUGGUGUGAAAUUUAGGAAUAAGGUCAGUCACAUUGAAGCAGUUAGCCAGGAGGAGGCAAGAGAUUUUGUAGAAGAUGAUACGCCUCAUAGUUGAAAACAAAGUAAUUGCAUUUCUCUUCAUCCAUCAUCAUUCAACAUUUUAAUCUGUGUGGAAGGUACAAAAAGUUUAAAGAAGCCAAGUGCCCGGUGCUAUCAGUGCCGCGCGUGAAAUAUGAAGUUGAGUAAAGCCAGGUCUAACCAUAAGAGUUAAACAUUGCAGUGACAUUUGGAGCUUCAUAUCAGCAUUUGUACAUGAAUGUCUUCUCAUUUAUUCAUCCCCUUUUUUCACUAUGUAAAAAAUCAUUUACUUUAUAGCUUUGAUUAUCACAGAGAAUUGUUUUGAUAUUUUUUAAUUGUAUAAUCUCAUUUGUUGGUGAAUGUAUAGUUGCCGCCAUUUUUGGACUGUAGUAUCAUUUUUUUAUGAUGUCAAUAUUAUCAUUGUACAGAGUGCAAGAAAUUUUAUGGAGUCAGCAACAUGUUUGCCGAAUUGUUAAACAAAAAGCACUGUGAUUUUAAAUAUUUCGAAUUCUAUUUUGCAAAAAUGGGAAUAAAAUGCCAGAUGCUGCAAAUAUGUGCAUUUUCUAGAUAACUGGUUGGUAUUUAGAUGGUUAUUUUGCGUACUGUUUGAAACAUAGUGUAAAUAUAUCUAUUAUUUAAAGAUAUCUUUUUCAUUCAUUAUAUUUCCCAUGAAUCUGAGAAACAAGUGCAUUUAGCUAAAUUGUGUGUCGGAAUUAUUCCCAGAUUAUAAACUAUUAAACCUGUUUCAAAGGAUGUAUAGUGUUUUCAUUAAAAGAAAGUUCCUAAUUAACCCAUUUAUGACUAUUGUAUUAUGUUUCAUAUAUGUCAGAUUUAACAUUUUAUGAUUAUAAGUAAAUAUUCAUUUUGUUCAAACGUUAGGUGAAUUAUAUAAGAUAUACAGUUAAAUAUUUAGAGAUUUUAAUCACCCUUUCUAUUGUAUUUGUUUUGAUAGUUUAACACUCACAUAGUUGAUAUCAUGUCAUUUUUAUUAAUUGGGUUAUUCUUGAAAUUUUAAAUGCUAUAUUUAAUAAUCUUUUAACUUAAAAUAAAUUAUUAAAUAUAUUUUGUUUAAUAAUUUUAUAUAUAAUUGUAAAAGGUGCCUGAUUGUUAAAAAACGUUUCUUAUUCCCAUCUCAGAUUCAUUUUGUAUUAUAUAAUCAUAUCUGUAAUAGAUUUAAAUUUCAUCUCAGAUUCAUGUAAAUAUAUUUUAGAUUAAUUAUCAUUUAUUUUCAUGCCAACCUUCAUUUUUUAUUUAUAAUUCAAUUACAUGUCUGAUAUUUUAUAUCUUUAGCUAUACCACUCCUGUACUGGUUACAAUUUUAUGAUUGUUCCUUGUUAUUUACAAGACAGACCCUUUUUAUCUAAAUCAAAUUGUAGCUCUGUGCAAAAGUGGAAUAAAUUUUUGACAAAAUGUUUCUAGA